UCGCCUCGCUUAGAACCUCUCGUGCUAAUUAUAUUAGUUAUUUGUUGGAUAGCUACUAGUGUGGUAGAUUUAAUCAAAACUAUAUAGCGGCUAUAAGUUAUACUUGAUAUUGUCAAGUUAAAUGUUAUGGUUAAUACUUGUUUAGCGUUAACGCGCUAACUUCUCAGCUGUAGCUUCGAGUUCGAUGUUUCUUUCCCUCGCGUGAUCGUAGAAUCGAGCUCUAGUUGAUGCUGCAUGUUUUUAUAACAUUUUAUCUUGUAUGGUGUAAUGUUCUUAUGCAUAUGUAUAUGUUUGUUUGCUUGUGCCGGUUUGUCUUCGCUUCGCGUUGCGACUAGAUCGUGAUUCGUUUCCAAACUUCGAGGAAUCGAUGAUCAAGCGCUGGCGACCAAGUGAUCUGGCUCUUCGAGUUCUACAAGAUUGAAGACCCUGACCAUCUGUUUGGUGAAGGCAAGUGUCCUUUGACCUAUUAUGUCCCAUUUACUUUAUAAUUCAUCAACCCGCAUACCAUGAUCAACCUAAGGAUUGACUAGCUUUGUAUUUACCUUGUCCUUGCUUACCUUUUGGGUUAUUAUGGUUAGCAUUUUGCUAUUGCCUUAACUUAAUCAAUGAACAUGAUGUGACUAUUUAUGAUACGAUACUGUUAUCCUGAUUAUGCUGUUGAUCUUGUGAUACUCUAGGGGGCUCAGGCUGUUUCCUGAGUACCUCUCCGUAAGGACCUGUUCGUUGAGAGACCACCCGGGAUAACAGUGCAACCAUGAGGGUGGAAUGGGGUGCCCUUAGCUAAUUAAUUAGAGGAACUAGAGGUGUAGUUGCUUCGCCGUCGUGCCGUCAAUGGGGUCCAGGCACAGUGCUUGCUCUGCCGAGGCUGGGUGCCGAGGUUCUUUCGUUUUGCUUUUGUUAGUCACCCCCCUUCGGGGAGAGGUACUGUGUUUAUCAAACUGGAGAAACCUAACGGGCGGCUAUGACCUCUAGGGAAUCUUUGUAAAAGCUACGUAGUGAUACCCUGCCGGACCACCUAGGAAGUGAUCAAUGGGGAGUCAUGAUCCCCGGGCAAAACGGGAAUCACGGCUCAUGGGUAAAGUGUACGACCUCUGCAGAGUGUUAUGAAACUGAUAUAUCAGCCGUGCUCACGGUUAUGAGCGGCCUUGGGAUCCUCUUUGAUUAGAGAUACAGAUGGUUCAAUAUACAAUGAUUCUAUUGAUGGUUUUGGUUCGAUGAUGAUAAUGAUGUUUCCUCGAUGAGGAAAUGGUUCACGGGUUGGUUAUUACUAAAACUUGGCUUCCACUGAUAAUAAAUAUCUGACCAACUAAAAGCAACUGCUUGAGCUUAACCCCACAUAAAGCUAGUCCACCUCAGCCAAACGGGACAUUUGCUGAGUACGUUGAUGUGUACUCACCCUUGCUUUCACAAAACACCAGGUUGCCUUUGGUGCAAUCUAUGCUCAGGUAAAGAAGAAGGCGUCGAGGUGGAUCUCCAGGAGUUCCAGGAUGUUGAUGAGUUCGAGGAUUAGGCUAGCGAUCUCCCCCAGUCAGCUGCCUGUGGUGGGUUGUUUACGUUGGCUACGUUUCGAUUCUGCGUACUUUGAUUUAUAUUAUGUAAAUGACUCUAGUCUGUAAUAUUAUUACUUACUCUUUAUUGUAAUUCGAAGCAUUGUGCUAUGAUGAGUCAUUUAUGUAAUCGCUGUGUACGUGAAUUACUGAUCCUGGCACGUACAUGGUUCGCAUUCGGUUUACCUUCCAAAACCGGGUGUGACAUAAGUGGUAUCAAAGCCGUGCUGACUGUAGGACCGCUGACCUAGAGUAGCAUUGGCCGUUUUAAGGACUUAUUGAUUAUUACUUCACCCCAUCCUUGAUUCUGCUUCAAAAUAUUAGUCAGCUUGACUAAUUCUAUGUUGUUCUCCUAUAUGCCCCCUUGCCAAAAGUAUUUUAUUCUAGUAUGGUCUAUACUUCUCUCAAUCUAUUAGAUCUGAUCUCACUCUUAUGCUUGCGACAUCUUUGUUGAUGCCCCCUGACCAUGGCCUUUAGUCUUUUGGGACUCUUUCCUCAUCCAUUAUUAAAUUGCUACCAUUUGACCAUCUCUAUUCCAUUUUGUUAUUGACAUGCUCGUAUCCUUGCAUUUUUAAUACCCUUACCCCUUAAUCUAAAGCACUUACUCUUGUACAUCUACUACCUAUUUAAACAUUUCAGUUUAUAUGUCCAUGAUCUUACCGUCUUUUGAGACCCUUUCCUAUUCUAUUGAUAAGUCGCUAUCUUUUGGCAAUUUGUACUUUCUUGGUUUUGGUAUGCUCGUACCAUUGGAAUCUUGCAUACUCUUAUUUUUAUAUAUGCUUACCUUUAUGUCCCAAUAUCUGUUUGAAAUAUUUCAGUUAACACGCCCUUGACCACCCUUGUUUCCUAAUGAUCCAUGAGUGAUCAUUUUAUUUUGCACACCUGUAGUAUCUCGCGAGUUUGUAACCUCAUCCUUGUUGUGCUUUUGUUUCUUAUUGCCUUUACCCUUCUCAUCUCUUAAUCUUACCUUAGCGAUUACGUUAUGUUUGUUAUCUAAAACCUCCAAUCUCCCACCUUAGUUCAAGCGUGGUCUCUUACUUAUCUCACCCUUGACUAUAUCCUCUUCUUUACCGCGUGUAGGCCCAGACUUAACUCCAUUCGUUAUUGUAUUUGUACCACUUGCUCUUCUAUGCCUUUAUCUUUUAUCUUGCACCCUUGUCCGUUAUCGCCUUUGGCCCUUGCGAUAUUUAUGUCUUCUACCUAAAUGCUUACCUUAAACUUAUCCUUUAAAUCCUCCCCUUUCUUCAACCCAGUUUGAGAGUUGCGAGUUACCUACCUUACCCUUGAUUGUUUUCUCCACUUCGUGAGUCUUGCCUGAGCUCUAUCCUUAUGCUUUUCAUUAUUAGCACCUUUACCUUUGACACCUCUAUAUCGUACAUUGAUGUUUAUCUUAUACCUGCCCUUUAAAUUCCCCUCUUUUCCACCUCAAUUUGGGAGUGGCAAUUUACCUAUCUGGCCCUUGAAUGCAUCCUUUCCUCUAACACUUGCAGGUCCUGUCUUAACUCCAUCCUCUGUGGCAUUUAUAUUCUUUGUCUUAUGCCUGUUUACCUCCUCUCCUACAUCCUUGUUCGUUAUUACUUUCAAAACCCUCGUGAUAUAUAUGCCCUUGUCUUCCUGCUUAAUUUGAACCUACCCUUUAAAGCCUCCUCUUCUCCAUCCCGGUUUGAGGAAUAAUGCCUCACCUACUUCACCAGUGGUUGCUUACCCUUCCUUGACGCCUUGCAAGUCUUGUUUAAAAUACAUCAUUUAUUGUGUGUUUGUCCGUUAUCACCUUAACCCUUGUCAUCCCUCAAUCUUUAUCUUGAUGCUUAUCCUGUACCUGCAUUUUAAAGCCGCCUUUUCUAUUUCAUUUCAAGAGUGAUGUCUUACCCAUUCCGCUCUUGUUCGUUCCCUAUUCCUCUGUCGUGUUGCAAGUCUUGUCUUAACUCGACCUUUUGGUGUGCUUUUGCUUGUUACCUCCUUUACCUUUUUAAUCAUCAGAUCUUUCCAUGAAGCUUAUCCUAUGCCUACCUUUUGAAAUAUCAUCGUUUCCAUCUCAAUUUGAGAAUGGUGUUUUACCUAUCCCGACCUUGCUUUGCAUUUUCUCCCAGCUCGGUUACAAUUCUUGCUUUAGCUCCAUCCUUUAUUAUGCUCAUGCCCCUAUCUUGUAUGUCUUAUCAUUCCCCUUGUCUUUUGAUGACCUUAGAUUAGUUUCCCCUUUGUAAGGAAAGACCACCAUCUAGUUAACAUUAACGUGUAGCAACGAGAUGUUUUGUUGCUGUGUGCUCGUGAUGUUUGUCCUUAUGUUAUGACUGAUUUGCUUCUUUGUGAUGAGUGUUGAUGUGUUGUGGCCCUUGGUCUGCAAUGACAUCAGUUUAUUAGGUGAGUGCCAUAUAGUUAAGCAGUUGGGUUCCCCCCUGCUCUCUCUAAUCCAUUUAUACGUACCUUUUCUCGCUAUUCUUUCCUCUUGCACCUGUCCAUUUGGCAACCUUCAAUUCCUUCAAAUCAGACAAGAUCAGAGUCGGCAACAUCUUCACCAAGUGCAUAUCAACGCUCUUGUUAAGGGGGUUAGCCGCUAACCCCAAUGAAGACAAUGCGAUCCACGUCAACCAACAAGAUCAGAGUGGCGCAGCGAAAGCGUGUGUGGGUCCAGCCCAUAGGUCAAAGAGAUCUUCACGAAUUGCAUCAACCGUCUCAAGCAUCUGAAGGUCAAAGCAACCAACCCACAAGUCAAGCCGGCGGAGUCAAAGCCGUGUUAGAAGAAUCUACAAAAAAAACCAAUAAACCAAUCUCAUUUUCUUGCUAGCCUCUUCUUGAAUCUCGAGGGCGAGAUUCCGUUAAGGGGGUUAGAUUUGUAACACCCUGAAUUUGGGGUAUAAAAUUUCUUUGCUCAUAUUCACAAAUUCGGGUGUUACUCCUCUCUUCACACCUUUCCCAAUCUCCUCUUUCUCUUUUCUAUAGAAGAAGAGUGGCUAUUUUUAUGUGUAAUUAUAGUCUAGUAGGCUGGACUCCAAGGGAGUAUGAAAUGUUGCAUCAUGUUGAACCCUAAACUUCACUUUUGUUUGAUGCAUAUGCUUGAGGGUGCUAAUUUGAAUUUGUGGCAUAUUUGAAUUUGAAUCAAAUGGAGUAAAUAAAAAUAAAAGGGAAAACAAUUGCUGCAAUAAAAGAAAAAGGUAAAGUGGCCCAUCCCCCCUUCCCUGGCCCAUUCGGCUAGCCCAGCCGCCCCCUGCUUCCCCCUCUCUUUUGCCCCCCGCUCGGCCCAGCGCCACUCUCCUUUCUUGGGCCUGCGCGAGGCGGCCCAGCUCCGCGUCGCCCCCCCCCCCCCCCCCCCAGCCCAGCGCGCCAGCCUUUCCCCCCUCUCGUGGGCCGCGCGAGCGCCAGCCCAGCUCCCGCGCCAGCCCCGCGCCCAGCCAGCUACGCGGCCCAGCUCCCUUUCGGCCCUGCCAGCGCGCCUGGCCCAACGUCGCCCCCCCUCUCCCUUGGGCUGCCUGCGCUGCUCGGCCCAAUCGCGCGCUGCAGCCCCACGAUGCGUGCUCAGGCGCUCCUGAGCGCCGCCGGAGCCCCUGUUCAUCUUCCCCUACCGUCUCUCUCUCCCCCAACUUCUCUCCCUCCUUCCCCAUGAUGCGCAACACCAUUUUUCCUCUCCCUGAUGCUCGCAACCGCCCCUGCUCCUGCGUCUGGAGUUCCGCCGUGCCGAGCUCGUCCCGCCGUCCACGGUCGCCGUGAACGCACGGCCGGUGCUCGAUCCCCGGCGAAGCUUGCCCCUGCGCGGCGGCCAUCGCAGCCUGCUCGUCGCCCCCUGCGUGGUGGCCUGCGGCUAGCCAGCGCGCGGCGGCCCGCUAGCGUGGCCUGCUCGCGGCUAGCCUGGCCUAGCCCUGCGCGACGCUUCCCUGCCCGAUGCGGGUCUUUGCAGCGUGGGAAAGUAGGCCUCGCCGUUGGGCCCCACCAGGCGAUCGACAUCCUCGGCCGAGUUUUCCCGUGGCGGUUCCGUUCGUAUGCGCGGUCGUCUCCUUCCGAGGAGGAUGAAGAGGUAACUGCUCUGUGAUUCGAUCUGCAGGAUUCUAUGCGUAGAAUUCCAUGUGGCCUUCUGUGUGGUAGGUGGUCGACCAAUGAGACCGUGACACAUCGGCUAUAAUCCGCAAAAGAUUACUUAUUCAAUAUAAUUCACAUUGUAAAUCCGUUUUGACCCGUUACAGAUUUCAUUAGUUUCGUAAUGAAAUUGUCUAUGUGUUAGUAAUAUUACUUUGCUGCAACGUGCGUUUUAUAUAAUUAAUAAAUUAUUUGUUCAUCCAUUAGUUAUUAAAAAUUCACCAGCCAAUUAAAAACUAAUCUAUAGUUUAAAUCUGCGCAUUUGUAUAUGAUUAUUCUGAUCGAAGUGCUUUUGAAUUAAUAUGUUUAAUAUACACAUGAUAUUUGUUAGUGAUCCCUGCACGUCGCGUGCGCUGUCGCACGCGUUGUUUCGCGUGCCAUCCACACGUUGUUUCGCGCAUUGCAGCAUGCUGAUUCGCACGCAGUUCGCGCAUUGUCGCGCACAUUAUUUCGUCAGUCAGUCGCAUGCUGUUUGCGCGUCACCAUUGUUCGAUCGUGCGUUCGCGCUGCGUGUCUGGUGCGCGCGAUGUCGCGUGCUGUUCGCUCACAUCGUCACGCGCUAUUUGCUCGUGGUCACACGUGGUCGUGCGCGCUUUCCGUGUGCUCCUUCACACGUGACGCGCGCGCUGUUCCCACGUGUGACGAUCGUUGUCGUCGUGUCGCAUAUUUUAGUUGAAUAACCAAUUAUUAGUUUGUUCGAAGGUUAAUAAAAUAACAAUCUAAUUAGAACGAGUCUAUAGCUUUAACUCGUGCUUUUACAAGGAUAAAUGUUAAUUAAUGUGAUUAAUACCAACUGAAAUACUUUUCGUUAAUUAUUUGUUUGUUGUUCGCGCGCGACAUCGUUUGCGCGUUAUCGUGCUGUUCGUGCGCGUAGACGUGUUGACUCGCACGUGUCGCGCGCUGCCAUGCACGUUGUUUCGCAUGUCGCCGUGCUGCUUCGCGAGCGUCGUCGCGUGUGCUGUUCGCACACGUUGUCGCGCACCGUUCGCGUGUGUCGCGCGGCGUCUGCGCGUGAUAAUAAAUAGUUUGUCGCUUAUAAGCACUCAUGUUAAUAACGUUAGUUCGUCAGAUCGCAUAUUUUAGAUAAUUAACUUAAAGUUUGCUCGACUAAUAUUUACUAGAUUAAUAUUUCAAUCAGAUUAAAUAUGUAGUGUUCAACUUGGGCUUUUAUAAUAAACAUUGACAUGACAAAUAUCAAGUUAACUACUAUUUAUAUAUUUAAUAUUUGUUUAGUACAAAUGCGUCACCUGUUUAGUUUUUCGCCUGUCGCGCGUGUUGUUCCGCACGUGGUAACGUGCUGGUCCACGCGUCGUUCGCGCCGGUCGUCCGCCCUGUCCCGUGCGUCGUUCGCGUGCUAUGUCGCGUGUGUCCACUCGUCGUCUGCACGCUGUCGUAUUGUUUCGUGCGUCGUAAUUCGCCUCGCUUAGAACCUCUCGUGCUAAUUAUAUUAGUUAUUUGUUGGAUAGCUACUAGUGUGGUAGAUUUAAUCAAAACUAUAUAGCGGCUAUAAGUUAUACUUGAUAUUGUCAAGUUAAAUGUUAUGGUUAAUACUUGUUUAGCGUUAACGCGCUAACUUCUCAGCUGUAGCUUCGAGUUCGAUGUUUCUUUCCCUCGCGUGAUCGUAGAAUCGAGCUCUAGUUGAUGCUGCAUGUUUUUAUAACAUUUUAUCUUGUAUGGUGUAAUGUUCUUAUGCAUAUGUAUAUGUUUGUUUGCUUGUGCCGGUUUGUCUUCGCUUCGCGUUGCGACUAGAUCGUGAUUCGUUUCCAAACUUCGAGGAAUCGAUGAUCAAGCGCUGGCGACCAAGUGAUCUGGCUCUUCGAGUUCUACAAGAUUGAAGACCCUGACCAUCUGUUUGGUGAAGGCAAGUGUCCUUUGACCUAUUAUGUCCCAUUUACUUUAUAAUUCAUCAACCCGCAUACCAUGAUCAACCUAAGGAUUGACUAGCUUUGUAUUUACCUUGUCCUUGCUUACCUUUUGGGUUAUUAUGGUUAGCAUUUUGCUAUUGCCUUAACUUAAUCAAUGAACAUGAUGUGACUAUUUAUGAUACGAUACUGUUAUCCUGAUUAUGCUGUUGAUCUUGUGAUACUCUAGGGGGCUCAGGCUGUUUCCUGAGUACCUCUCCGUAAGGACCUGUUCGUUGAGAGACCACCCGGGAUAACAGUGCAACCAUGAGGGUGGAAUGGGGUGCCCUUAGCUAAUUAAUUAGAGGAACUAGAGGUGUAGUUGCUUCGCCGUCGUGCCGUCAAUGGGGUCCAGGCACAGUGCUUGCUCUGCCGAGGCUGGGUGCCGAGGUUCUUUCGUUUUGCUUUUGUUAGUCACCCCCCUUCGGGGAGAGGUACUGUGUUUAUCAAACUGGAGAAACCUAACGGGCGGCUAUGACCUCUAGGGAAUCUUUGUAAAAGCUACGUAGUGAUACCCUGCCGGACCACCUAGGAAGUGAUCAAUGGGGAGUCAUGAUCCCCGGGCAAAACGGGAAUCACGGCUCAUGGGUAAAGUGUACGACCUCUGCAGAGUGUUAUGAAACUGAUAUAUCAGUCGUGCUCACGGUUAUGAGCGGCCUUGGGAUCCUCUUUGAUUAGAGAUACAGAUGGUUCAAUAUACAAUGAUUCUAUUGAUGGUUUUGGUUCGAUGAUGAUAAUGAUGUUUCCUCGAUGAGGAAAUGGUUCACGGGUUGGUUAUUACUAAAACUUGGCUUCCACUGAUAAUAAAUAUCUGACCAACUAAAAGUAACUGCUUGAGCUUAACCCCACAUAAAGCUAGUCCACCUCAGCCAAACGGGACAUUU
rnacentral:lncRNA from 1 species